CACGUAGGGCGCAAGCGUUGUCCGGAAUUAUUGGGCGUAAAGAGCUCGUAGGCGGCUUGUCACGUCGGGUGUGAAAGCCCGGGGCUUAACCCCGGGUCUGCAUUCGAUACGGGCAGGCUAGAGUGUGGUAGGGGAGAUCGGAAUUCCUGGUGUAGCGGUGAAAUGCGCAGAUAUCAGGAGGAACACCGGUGGCGAAGGCGGAUCUCUGGGCCAUUACUGACGCUGAGGAGCGAAAGCGUGGGGGAGCGAACAGG
rnacentral:rRNA from 1 species